GACCUGCCCACGUUUGGUUAUUGAAAUCCAAUCAGCAAAUCAUUGGUCUCAGCCGUAGACAAAUAGGACCCUGCUCACACAAUGAGGUUUGGAUGUCAGGAACAACUGUGUUCGUCUCAGAAGGAACUGCUUGCCAUUGGGGGUUUAUUCCUAAAACCGGUUCCAUAAGGACCACGAUGCCAGAGACCGGCGAAGCCCUCCCUGAAUUUUUACCGAGGCACCCGACAUGAACCCUCAGAUCGCGUUGGCAUGUCUUCAUUUUUUUUGUCUUAAUUAAUAUAGGCAUUUGGCAGACGCUUUUAUCCAAUCGCGAAGGGAUAUCUGGUUCCAUGUCAUCAAGGAACAGGUAUGGCUUAAAGGGGUAGUUCGGAAUUUUGGACAUAGGGCCUGAUUACAAAUAUGUGUGCUGUGGAGAUGAACCCCAGCCCACGACGUUUGCACUCAGCCUGGUUGGCAGCCAAACCUCGUCUGCUGUAUUAGCCGACGAACGGUGCUAGGAGCUAACUGCGCAUCGCCGGAGAAGGCCCUGCGCGAAACGUGUAGCGUCGCUUCGAAACGCUGUCGAACUGAAAUGUUUCUCCGGAGAAAUCCCAUUUCAGGGUUCAACGGCUCUUCCAGCGGCCGCCCGAGCGAGCCGCCGUGUAAUGUAUGCCCUCAUAAAGCUUGUCGACUUAAUCGAUUUUUCAUUUUUUUCAGCAGCCAAUUUUCAAUUAUUCGACUAUACUUUUUUUUUUUUAUCCACAGGUUUUUGCGCUCGUUUCUCACAUCGUUGCUUCUCUUGUGUUUUUCAAUUCGGUGAAAGGUG
ensembl:lncRNA